UAGACUAUUCCAACGAAAUGCGACAUUACAGCUAUGUGCCCAUAAAGGUGACACUUCAUUCGCUGCUUUCUAACCCAGAUGUACUGUGCAAACUCUCUUUCAACGCGCAGGGAGGCAACGAUGGUGUGUAUCGGGAAUUCACAGACGGCAAAGUUUUUCAAAGCCGGAUAUCAUCCGAUGGCAGUACUGUAUCGGUAAUCUUAUACCAAGAUGCUUUCGAAGUCGCCAAUCCCCUUGGAUCAGCCCGUGGAAAGUUUAAAAUGUUAGCGGUAUACUUCACGCUUGGAAACCUACCAGCUUACCUCAGAACCGUAGUUGACCCUCAACAGCUUGUUUUGCUUUGCCAUGAUAAAGACUUUAAACACUUUGGUUGUAGGAAGCUCUUCGAGCGACUCAUCAGUGACCUCCAAGAUCUUGAAGAUGGCAUCACAGUGAACGGGCACCGUUACGUUGUGCAGCUUGCUUUUAUAUGCGGUGACAACCUUGGAAGCCAUAGCAUUGGUGGCUUUGUGGAGAAUUUCAGCAGGGCCUCUUACAUAUGCCGGUACUGUGUUACAACCAUGCAAGAUUUUAGGAACAACAAGCCAGCAGAGCUUCGAACUGUUUCAUCAUACACUGAAGCAGUCAACCGUGCUAAGGACAGCCAAGAACAGGGUUUUAUGGGAGUCAAACACGACUCUCCAUUCAACAAGCUUUCAACAUUUCAUGUCUGUCUUCCUGGGCUCCCGCCAUGUCUUGGGCAUGAUCUUUUUGAAGGUGUUGUUGACUACGACGUUGCACUGAUGAUAAAAUAUUUCGUGAAAACACUGAAAUGGUUCUCUUACCACCAUCUUAAUGCAACAAUACAGUUCAAAUUUAAGUACAACGCGUGUGACCAAAGGAACAAGCCAGCUCCAAUGAACAUAAGUGGUAAAAAGCUUGGAGGCCAGGCACUGCAAAACUACACUCUUUUGUUACUUCUACCAAUAAUGGUGGGAGACAAAGUUCAGGAUGCAACUAACGAAAUGUGGCGUCUCCUUUUGACUCUCCAACAGGUUGUAGAACUCGUCAUGGCAACUGCCAUUUCAGAUGACCAAGUGUCAUAUCUGGCACUCUUGAUCAGUGAUUACAUCUGUGAGAGGGUAAGGUUGUUUCCAGCUGUUCCACUUCGUCCAAAGCAUCAUUAUUUAUUCCAUUAUCCUUAUCUCAUUAAACAGUUUGGACCACUCGUGAAAGUAUGGUCUCUCCGAUUCGAAAGUAAGCACAGCUACUUCAAACGUUGCAUUAGAGCAUCUGGCAACUUUAUUAAUGUUACGAAGUCACUUGCUCAGAAACACCAGCUCCUGCAGUCUUACUUGCAAAAGGAAGGCUUGUUUGGACCAGCUGCGGCGUUCAGUGACCUGACUCCUGCAUCUGAAAUAGCCAGUUUCGACAAAAACUUGUGGUGCUUCAUUCAGAAAAACUUGCCCACUAGUCAUGAAACCUUGAUGACUGCUUCGUCAGUGACACUAUGUGGCACACAUUACAAGCCAGGUUCUUACAUAGUGCUUGGUGGGGACCAGUACAACCUGCAGUUCGGCCAGCUUCUGCAUAUUGUGGUAGAGUCUGGCCAUGAGGCAACUCCAUUACUUCUUGUGAAAAAAGCAGCGUCUGCAUUCCUCCCAAACUUCAGGCUCUACAAGUUGAUGGAAUUGGAAGUGGAAGAGCUACAGUUGUUGUCUUCCUCUCAGCUGAUGGACAUACAUGCAUAUGUCCCGUACAGACUCCUCAACUGUCUUGUGAUCAGGCUGCGGAGUUCACUAUUGUUCGACGAUUUUGAAGAUGAUAGUCAAGAUCUGGAGCCUUGAUAAAACAAUAAAGAAACUGGCAGUGGUUGCCACUUUCGACGCCAUAAAGAAAAAGGCCAUAGAGUUCGGUAUAUGCUGCAAUGGAGACAUCAAGGUACACAUGCUGGAUGGAACGGAGGUGGACGAAGAAGCUUUCAAUUGUUUGAAUCAGUCAUCUGAGGAUGCUACUUACACCUUCAUUGCAACAACAGAUUCUUGGGUGUCAGGCAAG